UACGGGGGGGGCAAGCGUUGUUCGGAAUUACUGGGCGUAAAGGGCUCGUAGGCGGUCAACUAAGUCAGACGUGAAAUCCCUCGGCUUAACCGGGGAACUGCAUCUGAUACUGGAUGGCUUGAGUUCGGGAGAGGGAUGCGGAAUUCCAGGUGUAGCGGUGAAAUGCGUAGAUAUCUGGAGGAACACCGGUGGCGAAGGCAGCAUCCUGGACCGACACUGACGCUGAGGAGCGAAAGCCAGGGGAGCAAACGGG
rnacentral:rRNA from 1 species